AUACGGAGGGUGCAAGCGUUAAUCGGAAUUACUGGGCGUAAAGCGCGCGUAGGCGGUUAUUUAAGUCAGAUGUGAAAUCCCUGGGCUCAACCUAGGAACUGCAUCUGAUACUGGGUAACUAGAGUUUUGGAGAGGUAAGUGGAAUUUCCGGUGUAGCGGUGAAAUGCGUAGAGAUCGGAAGGAACACCAGUGGCGAAGGCGACUUACUGGCCAAAAACUGACGCUGAGGUGCGAAAGCGUGGGUAGCAAACAGGAUUAGAAACCCUAGUAGUCC
rnacentral:rRNA from 1 species